AGGACGCUGGGGUAUGCGUUAGGCAAUUUACUCCUGGGGCCAAUGAAAUCUCAUCGGGAGCUGUCUUCUACUUAGGCCGUGGCCUUUGUAUACGGCGCCCACCUGCUAACGCAGGCCACAAGAGAGUUCUUUAUGCCAACGGUUCACCUGGCGUCCGC
rnacentral:other from 2 species